AUGGGCGCCCCGGGGCCAUCCGCCAGGGACUGGUCGGAGAUGCCCUUCGACGCGCUCACCUCUGUCUUCGCCAAGCUCGCCGCCGUUGAGCUCCUCAUGGGCGCCGAGCUCGUGUGCCGCUCAUGGCUUGAGGCCGCCAAGGCGCCGGAACUAUGGCGAGCCGUGGUGAUGAUGUGCCAGCCCCACAAUGUGGUGGACAGAGGUGCCUCCUUGUGCGCCAUGGCCAAGGAGGCCGUUGACCGCUCUGGCAGGCUGCUCGAGAAGUUCGUGAUUCGUGGGGAGGAAAUUCGUCACCGAUGA
rnacentral:rRNA from 1 species